UACGUAGGGUGCGAGCGUUGUCCGGAAUUAUUGGGCGUAAAGAGCUCGUAGGCGGUGUGUCACGUCGGCCGUGAAAACCUGCAGCUUAACUGUGGGCGUGCGGUCGAUACGGGCAUCACUGGAGUUCGGCAGGGGAGACUGGAAUUCCUGGUGUAGCGGUGAAAUGCGCAGAUAUCAGGAGGAACACCGGUGGCGAAGGCGGGUCUCUGGGCCGAUACUGACGCUGGAGGAGCGAAAGCAUGGGUAGCGAACAGG
rnacentral:rRNA from 1 species